GAUGAACGCUGGCGGCGUGCCUAAUACAUGCAAGUCGAGCGAACAGACGAGGAGCUUGCUCCUCUGACGUUAGCGGCGGACGGGUGAGUAACACGUGGAUAACCUACCUAUAAGACUGGGAUAACUUCGGGAAACCGGAGCUAAUACCGGAUAAUAUAUUGAACCGCAUGGUUCAAUAGUGAAAGACGGUUUGCUGUCACCUAUAGAUGGAUCCGCGCCGCAUUAGCUAGUUGGUAAGGUAACGGCUUACCAAGGCAACGAUGCGUAGCCGACCUGAGAGGGUGAUCGGCCACACUGGAACUGAGACACGGUCCAGACUCCUACGGGAGGCAGCAGUAGGGAAUCUUCCGCAAUGGGCGAAAGCCUGACGGAGCAACGCCGCGUGAGUGAUGAAGGUCUUCGGAUCGUAAAACUCUGUUAUUAGGGAAGAACAAAUGUGUAAGUAACUAUGCACGUCUUGACGGUACCUAAUCAGAAAGCCACGGCUAACUACGUG
rnacentral:rRNA from 1 species